AAGCUCGUAGUUGAAUUUCGGGGUUCUACCGUUGGUCGGGCUAACCAGUCUGUACUAGCGUGUAGAACUCCUACCUUCUGGGGAACCAUCAUGUUAUUAAUUUAGCGUGGUGGGAAACCAGGACCUUUACCUUGAAAAAAUUAGAGUGUUCAAAGCAGGCUUACGUCUGAAUACAUUAGCAUGGAAUAAUAAAAUAGGACGGUGGUCCUGUUUUGUUGGUUUCUGAAUCACCGUAAUGAUUAAUAGGGAUAAGUUGGG
rnacentral:rRNA from 1 species